rnacentral:sRNA from 1 species
AUUUCCUUAAGGCAAAGAUACUCUUGAACCGAUGUAAGGAUAUAUUCAAAUCUUCCAAGAAUAUCGCUGGAGAGGCGGUUUAUCAACUCUAUAUAACGCGACUCAAAUAUUUCGCAUAAAAGGGAGACACACAAAUUAUGCCCUCAUCUUCAGACGACUCAAGAGCUCUAAAUUUAAAGGCAAACACUUCUCUUUUCAUAAUCUAAUCACUUGUACGAUCAAACACAUCUUUUUAUCAAUAAUAUUAAGAAAAUCAUCCGUGGUUAGACAUCGGCGUUUUCAUGAAAGAGAUCGUGUGCUCCGCGAGGUUUUCCAGAACACUGCCGAGCUAAACGCAUAAAAGUUGGGAGCUAAGUAGGAAGGCCCAUACCUAAUUUUGAGAGUCGUCUGUUCCGGCGUCUACGAGCUCGCCAAUGUAAACGGCAGAGCAGUUCCAAGAUCCCGGAACGCCAUGCACCUUAGGAAAUACUACUACUAACACCGAAAGUGCGCAUGAACUUGACAUACGAGGUGACUUGAACCCUGAAAUGGCUACGUAGGCAGCUCAUGUUUGGAUGAGUUCUGCUACUGCUCCCCCCUCCC